ensembl:lncRNA
UGUGUUUGUCCUGAAUCUCUGGGGAACAGGCCCUGCCAGUUGUGUUUGUCCUGAAUCUCUGGGGAACAGGCCCUGCCAGUUGUGUUUGUCCUGAAUCUCUGGGGAACAGGCCCUGCCAGUUGUUUGUCCUGAAUCUCUGGGGAACAGGCCCAACCAGUUGUCCUGAAUCUCUGGGGAACAGGCCCUACCAGUUGUUUGUCCUGAAUCUCUGGGGAACAGGCCCUGCCAGUUGUCCUGAAUCUCUGGGGAACAGGCCCUGACAGUUGUUUGUCCUGAAUCUCUGGGGAACAGGCCCUGCCAGUUGUCCUGAAUCUCUGGGGAACAGGCCGUACUAGUUGUCCUGAAUCUCUGGGGAACAGGCCCUGCCAGUUGUGUUUGUCCUGAAUCCCUGGGGAACAGGCCCUGCCAGUUGUGUUUGUCCUGAAUCCCUGGGGAACAGGCCCUGCCAGUUGUUUGUCCUGAAU